GAUCGCUUCCUUCAUCCUACACGUAGAAAAAAAAAGACAACGAUCUGCUAUCCCUAAUCCCUUCACGACUUGACCUAAAAAAACUGCGAUCGUGAUUUCCCUACCUCCCAGCCCUAGGCCGCCGAUGCCCGACGGCGGACGCCGACACGCCAUACUGCAGUCCAGGGGGCCUCAUCGUCACGCUUGGUCAAUUGCUCUCCGACUUUACGCGUUGCCAAUAGCACACGGACUGAUGCUAUGCUAUCAUGGAUUCGACCAUCAGAAUCAGGAUUGUGUGUUAGUAUGCCGCCGAGAAACAAGACGCAUGCAUCGGGAAGCAAUAAAAGGAAAAGGAAGAAGGCCGUUGAUAAAUUUGUUCAAUCAUAGAUUGUUGCACAAAAUUUGCUAAAACACUCUCUCUUGAUGGUUCAUCUGAUCUUGAGGUAUAUGCUCUUAUUUUUGAAUUGAAGAUUAUGAGAUUCACUUUGCCAAAUGGCUUAAUGUUUGCUAUGGAGAUUUUUGUGCAUGUGAGAGAAGUUGAUUAUUAUCCGAAUA